rnacentral:rRNA from 1 species
CGUGCCUACGGGAGGCAGCAGUGGGGAAUAUUGCACAAUGGGGGAAACCCUGAUGCAGCGACGCCGCGUGAGUGAAGAAGUAUCUCGGUACGUAAAGCUCUAUCAGCAGGGAAAAAAAAAAGUCCUUUGGACUUUGGACGGUACCUGACCAAGAAGCCCCGGCUAACUACGUGCCAGCAGCCGCGGUAAUACGUAGGGGGCAAGCGUUAUCCGGAUUUACUGGGUGUAAAGGGAGCGUAGACGGCAGCGCAAGUCUGGAUUGGAAUGCCGGGGCCCAACCCCGGAACUGCUUUGG